AGCAACGCGGCUCCGCUGCGGCUGGAAUGUUCAUCCUCCUUUCUACUCGUGACCAUUAAGGUGAGAGGACGUGCUCCGGGUUUCUCCUCUCCACGUGCCUUCAUUCCCUCAUUCUCGGGUAGUGAAGAGCUACAAGAUGGUGCAAAAGAAGCCACCGAGCUGUUCCGCCUCCUGGAGAAAUAACGCCCUGAGAGCAAGGCUGCCUAGAGGGAGAGGCCGAGGAAGCGUGCUGCCGGUAAGCCAGACAUGCCAGCCAAGCGCAAGAUUCAGGUGCGCCAGGGAGCAAACGACGUGGUGACGCUGGUGGAGCAGAAGGCGGCGCGGCUGGUGUAAUUCAAUGUUAGAUCUGCUGCAGUCUCUGACGAGACAGCCAGACGUUACCCUACGGAACGAGCUCAGAGCUCAUUAUUUACGAUCUUCGGAUAGGCCUGAGACCAGGCACACACCACACACCGGGACAACAAGGUCACAACUCCUAGAUUUACAUUGUGUGCAUUGCCAACGAUGUUGAGGUCAUUGAGGUGGUACUGUUCCUGCCUGCCCUGUUUUGCAAGAUGGGCAUUCAUGAAGAACAAGUCUCACCUGGGCACUGUGGUCAGCAGGAAGAAAGCUGCCUGUAUGGCUAUCACUGAUGUUGAGGCAAAUGACAGGAGUCCAUCAAGACCAACUACAAUGACUGCUUUGAUGACAUCAGGAAGAAAUGGGGUGGUAGUCCAUUGGGAGCCAAGUUUGCCUCCAGGAUUGCCAAGCUGGAGCAAGCCAAAGUGCUAUUCCUGCCUGCCCUGUGUCGGAAGAUGGGCAUUCCUAACUGCAUCGUGAAGAACAAGAACCUGGGCAGGAGGAAGAAGGUUGCCUGUGUGGCUAUCACUGAUGUCGAGGCAAAUUACAGCAGUACAUCAAGACCAACUACCACGACCACUUUGACGAGAUCAGGAAGAACGGGCGGUGGUUCAUUGGCGCCAAGUCUGCCUCCAGGAUUGCCAAGGUGCUGUUCCUGCCUGCCCUGUGUCAAAAGAUGGGCAUUCUUUUCUGCAUUAUGAACAAGUCUUGCCUG